rnacentral:rRNA from 1 species
GNCCUGGGGAGUACGGUCGCAAGAUUAAAACUCAAAGGAAUNGACGGGGACCCGCACAAGCGGUGGAUGAUGUGGAUUAAUUCGAUGCAACGCGAAAAACCUUACCUACCCUUGACAUGUAUGGAAUCCUGCUGAGAGGUGGGAGUGCCCGAAAGGGAGCCAUAACACAGGUGCUGCAUGGCUGUCGUCAGCUCGUGUCGUGAGAUGUUGGGUUAAGUCCCGCAACGAGCGCAACCCUUGUCCCUAGUUGCUACGCAAGAGCACUCUAGGGAGACUGCCGGUGACAAAUCCGGAGGAAGGUGGGGAUGACGUCAAGUCCUCAUGGCCCUUAUGGGUAGGGCUUCACACGUCAUACAAUGGUCGGAACAGAGGGUCGCCAACCCGCCGAGGGGGAGCCAAUCCCAGAAAACCGAUCGUAGUCCGGAUCGCACUCUGCAACUCGAGUGCGUGAAGCUGGAAUCGCUAGUAAUCGCGGAUCAGCAU